UACGUAGGGCGCAAGCGUUAUCCGGAAUUAUUGGGCGUAAAGAGCUCGUAGGCGGUUUGUCGCGUCUGCCGUGAAAGUCCGGGGCUCAACUCCGGAUCUGCGGUGGGUACGGGCAGACUAGAGUGAUGUAGGGGAGACUGGAAUUCCUGGUGUAGCGGUGGAAUGCGCAGAUAUCAGGAGGAACACCGGUGGCGAAAGCGGUUCUCUGGGCAUUACCUGACGCUGAGGAGCGAAAGUGUGGGGAGCGAACAGG
rnacentral:rRNA from 1 species